rnacentral:rRNA from 1 species
GAUGAACGCUGGCGGCGUGCCUAAUACAUGCAAGUCGAGCGAACAGAUGAGGAGCUUGCUCCUCUGACGUUAGCGGCGGACGGGUGAGUAACACGUGGAUAACCUACCUAUAAGACUGGGAUAACUUCGGGAAACCGGAGCUAAUACCGGAUAAUAUAUUGAACCGCAUGGUUCAAUAGUGAAAGACGGUUUUGCUGUCACUUAUAGAUGGAUCCGCGCCGCAUUAGCUAGUUGGUAAGGUAACGGCUUACCAAGGCAACGAUGCGUAGCCGACCUGAGAGGGGGAUCGGCCACACUGGAACUGAGACACGGUCCAGACGCCUACGGGAGGCAGCAGGAGGGAAUCUUCCGCAAUGGGCGAAAGCUUGACGGAGCAACGCCGCGUGAGUGAUGAAGGUCUUCGGAUCGUAAAACGCUGUUAUUAGGGAAGAACAAAUGUGUAAGUAACUAUGCACGUCUUGACGGUACCUAAGCAGAAAGCCACGGCUAACUACGU